GACGAACGCUGGCGGCGUGCUUAACACAUGCAAGUCGAACGGAAAGGCCUGCUUUCCCUUGUGGAUUGCGGGUACUCGAGUGGCGAACGGGUGAGUAACACGUGAGUGAUCUGCCCCCAACUUGGGUAUAAGCCUGGGAAACUGGGUCUAAUUCCCGAUAGGACUGCAGGGUGGUGCCGGUGGUGGAAAACGAUUUUCUAGUGGUUGGGGAUGAGCUCGCGGCCUAUCAGCUUGGUGGUGGGGUAAUGGCCUACCAAGGCGGCGACGGGGAGCCGGCCGGGGAGGGGGGACGGCCGCAUUGGGACUGGGAUACGGCCCCGACGCCUACGGGCGGCAGGAGUGGGGACUAAUGCACAAUGGGCGGAAGCCUGAUGCAGCGACGCCGCGUGGGGGAUGACGGCCUUCGGGUUGUAAACUCCUUUCGACCGCGAGGAAGCCACCUGGUUGGAAGGGUGGUGACGGUAGUGGUAGAAGAAGCACCGGCUAACUACGUG
rnacentral:rRNA from 1 species